GCCAGGAUGGCGAAAUUGGUAGACGCGCACGGUUCAGAACCGUGUUCCCUAAAGGAUUGGGGGUUCAAAUCCCCCUCCUGGCA
rnacentral:tRNA from 1 species